GCAACAGGGAUAGCUCAGUUGGUCAGAGCAAGGUGCUGUUAACGCCAAGGUUGCAGGUUUGAUCCCCAUAUGGGGCAGCUGCA